CACGUAGGGGGCGAGCGUUGUCCGGAUUUAUUGGGCGUAAAGAGCUCGUAGGCGGCUCAGUAAGUCAGGUGUGAAAACUCCAGGCUCAACCUGGAGACGCCACCUGAUACUGCUGUGGCUAGAGUCCGGUAGGGGAGCAUGGAAUUCCUGGUGUAGCGGUGAAAUGCGCAGAUAUCAGGAGGAACACCAGUGGCGAAGGCGGCUCACUGGCUCAUUUCUGACGCUCAGGCGCGACAGCGUGGGGAUCAAACAGG
rnacentral:rRNA from 1 species